rnacentral:rRNA from 1 species
CGCACGGGUGAGUAACACGUAUCCAACCUGCCGUCUACUCUUGGACAGCCUUCUGAAAGGAAGAUUAAUACAAGAUGGCAUCAUGAGUCCGCAUGUUCACAUGAUUAAAGGUAUUCCGGUAGACGAUGGGGAUGCGUUCCAUUGGAUAGUAGGCGGGGUAACGGCCCACCUAGUCUUCGAUGGAUAGGGGUUCUGAGAGGAAGGUCCCCCACAUUGGAACUGAGACACGGUCCAA